rnacentral:rRNA from 1 species
AACGGUCGGCUUCGGCCGAUAGUGGCGAACGGGUGAGUAACACGUAGGUGACCUGCCCCGAAGUGUGGAAUAACAGUCCGAAAGGAUUGCUAAUACCGCAUGUGGUCUGUGAGGUUAGAGUCUUGCAGACUAAAGCAGUAAUGUGCUUCGGGAGGGGCCUGCGCCCCAUCAGCUAGUUGGUAGGGUAAUGGCCUACCAAGGCAACAACGGGUAGGGGGCCUGAGAGGGUGACCCCCCACAUUGGCACUGACACACGGGCCAAACUCCUACGGGAGGCAGCAGUGAGGAAUAUUGCUCAAUGGGCGAAAGCCUGAAGCAGCAACGCCGCGUGCGCGAUGAAGGCCUUCGGGUCGUAAAGCGCUUUUGAGAGGGACGAGAUAGGACGGUACCUCUUGAAUAAGUCACGGCUAACUACGUGCCAGCAGCCGCGGUAAAACGUAGGUGGCAAGCGUUAUCCGGAUUCACUGGGCGUAAAGCGCGUGCAGGUGGCUUCGUAAGUUGGAUGUUAAAUCUCCCGGCCUAACCGGGAGGAGUCAUUCAAUACUGCGGGGCUCGAGGGCAGAAGAGGGGGGUGGAAUUGCUGGUGUAGUGGUGAAAUGCGUUGAUAUCAUUAGGAACACCUGAGGCGAAAGCAGCUCACUGGGCCUAUCCUGACGCUGAAGUACGAAAGCUAGGGUAGCGAACGGGAUUAGAUACCCCGGUAGUCCUAGCUGUAAACGAUGAGCACUGGGUUGAGGGGACUUCCACACCCUCUCGGCCG